GUAGAUUGGGAAACUCAUCAAAUAUUAUUGAAAUGCCGAGACAAGUUUUUGUUUCAAUGGCGGGCCCCAACCUUUAUGGUGUUAUUCUUAACCAGGCGGAUUACAAAGAAGCAAGAACCCUCAAAUCCUGUCUUCCGGAGUUUCAACGCACUCUUUGAUGUGGUAUU
rnacentral:sRNA from 1 species